rnacentral:tRNA from 1 species
GCCGUUGUAGCUCAGUUGGUAGAGCGCGUCCUUGGUAAGGACGAGGUCACCGGUUCAAGCCCGGUCAACGGCUCCA